rnacentral:siRNA from 1 species
AUCUAUACUGACAUAACAUGUGCC